UCGGGAAUUACUGGGCGUAAAGACGCACUGCAGGCGGCCUCGUUAAGUCAGAUGUGAAAGCCCGGGGCGUUAAACCUCGGAAUUGUAUUUGAAACUGGCAGGCUAGAGUCUUGUAGAGGGGGGUAGGAAUUUCAGGUGUAGCGGUGAAAUGCGUAGAGAUCUCGAAGGAAUACCAGUGGCGAAGGCGGCCCCCUGGACAAAGACUGACGCUCAGAUGCGAAAGCGUGGGGAGCAAACAGGAUUAGAUACCCCUGGUAG
rnacentral:rRNA from 1 species